GACGAACGCUGGCGGCGUGCUUAACACAUGCAAGUCGAACGGAAAGGCCCUGCUUUUGUGGGUUGCUCGAGUGGCGAACGGGUGAGUAACACGUGAGUAACCUGUCCUUGACUUUGGGAUAACUUCAGGAAACUGGGGCUAAUACCGGAUAGGAGCUCCUGCUGCAUGGUGGGGGUUGGAAAGUUUCGGCGGUUGGGGAUGGACUCGCGGCUUAUCAGCUUGUUGGUAGGGUAGUGGCUUACCAAGGCUGUGACGGGUAGCCGGCGUAAGAGGGUGGUCGGCCGCAUGAGAAGUGAGACGGGGACAAUGGGCCUGCGAUAGGCAGCAGUAGGGUACGGGAGGCAGUAGUCGAAAGUAUUGCGGAACGAGGGGAAGUGAGAGACGGAGACGUUGCGUGCGUGAUACUGUCUUAUGGGUUAUAAACCGAUUUCGCAUUAGACGAAGCCGGAUUGACGGUAAUGGGUAAGGAAGCACCGGCUAACUACGUG
rnacentral:rRNA from 1 species